rnacentral:lncRNA from 1 species
UGGCAGAGCGGCAUGGCAGAGAAGGAGAGUAGAGAAGAAGCAUAUGAACACCGAGAGGAGUUUGGCUGGGGACCGUCAGAGAGGAGAUCGGCCACUGGACAACCAAACUCCAGGGAAGGAGUCCGAGGCGGUUUGGAAAUACAAAUUAACCUGAAACUACUUCCUAAGGCAUUACCAGAAAUCACGUUUUAGAUGUCAAGAUGACUUGCAUUGUUCUAAACUUCCAGGCUGUGCCAAUGGCCACAAAGGUAAAUGGGGCAUUGGGACAACCAUGUGAAGGACUAAGUUGCAACAUGAAGCAAGCACACUCUUCCGCAUGAGUCACCUGAAAAUGAAAAGAGAAGAAUAGCUGGAAAAGAUGAUACUGUCUGACAACAGCAUUUCAAAUAAGACACAAAAAACUUGUCUGCAUUUGCUUUCAGGUCAUGAAAUACCACAUGAACUGAAUGUUUGAGAACCCAUUAGCUAUGGAUCACCCUGAUUCAACAACCCAAUUAAUCAUAUUCUCAGGUCUAUGGCAUAAUCAGUGUUUCUCAACCUACACUGC